CUUCACCGAUACAGCGGACUCGGCAGUGCUACACUUUUGGAGUUAUCGGAAAAGUGUAAUCAAGAGUUUUGCCUGGAAAAACACGUUCGAGAAGCAACCCGAAAGUCUAACCUCUCCACAACAAAAGAUCUGCCUCUGUAGUAUUCUUAACGAGGACAACACCAUUCUGGGACUCAUCAUCAAACAGCUGACCCAGCAAAUAUUCCGAGAUGGAAGGCGAGUCAGAAUUCAGUGUGGAGAAGUUCCGUGAUCCUGACGAAACUCAAGCAACAUGGCGCCUCAGAAAAGCAUUCCUGGAAACCCACUACGACAAAUUUCCAACUGAUCGUCUUGUUUGUUUAGCCAAGUGUUUUAUCAAUGUAGAAGUUGACGGCUGCAAGUACCCAAACCAAGUAAUGAUACAGCUUGCUGAACUCAAGAGGGAACUGAAUCUUUGACCUGUCAUUUUAGAUUUAUGAUGGAUUUCAUGAAAAUAUUAAAAUACAACACAGAGAGACUUGUGAAAACUGGCAUAUGGCUUGUAUAACUCGAUAUCUAUAAUUCCAGUCAAGAUUGGAACAUAUGUCAUGCUGAUGUUUCACCAUUUAUAAUAGAAAUAUUUAAUUCAUGGUUUUGUCCAAUUUUAUCCUUGUCAUCAAUAUGCAUCUUCUUUCCAUUGCUUAAAUUGUAAUUUUAAAGUUUGAUGCAUUUUUAUUACCAUAUACUUCUCCAUCAUCAACAUCAUCAUAAUCCAAGUUUCAUCAUGUUCAUGUUAUCUUUUCAACUCAUUUUUACACAUGCCUAGGUAACAUUCUGUUGAUGGGGAGAUUGUUGUUUCAUAUUGAUCAAUAAAUGAAGAACUAUUAGCCUUAGUAUCUGAAAAUGGAAAUCAAGAUUUCACAUAAAGCAAGUGAUCCAAAA